rnacentral:pre_miRNA from 1 species
ACAUACAGGACCUGAUCCAAAAGUCUACUGAAGUCAAUGGAAAUCUUUCCAUUGGCUUCAUUAGGGUUUGGAUCAGGCCUAUAGAGA